UACGUAGGGGGCUAGCGUUGUCCGGAUUUAUUGGGCGUAAAGAGCGUGUAGGCGGCCAUUCAGGUCAGCUGUGAAAACUCGAGGCUCAACCUCGAGACGUCGGUUGAAACCGUUUGGCUAGAGUCCGGAAGAGGAGAGUGGAAUUCCCGGUGUAGCGGUGAAAUGCGCAGAUAUCGGGAAGAACACCCGUGGCGAAGGCGGCUCUCUGGGACGGUACUGACGCUGAGACGCGAAAGCGUGGGGAGCGAACAGG
rnacentral:rRNA from 1 species